rnacentral:rRNA from 1 species
UACGGGGGGGGCAAGCGUUGUUCGGAAUUACUGGGCGUAAAGGGCUCGUAGGCGGCCAACUAAGUCGGAUGUGAAAUCCCCAGGCUUAACCUGGGAACUGCAUCCGAUACUGGAUGGCUUGAAUCCGGGAGAGGGAUGCAGAAUUCCAGGUGUAGCGGUGAAAUGCGUAGAUAUCGUAAGGAAGGCCGGUGGCGAAAGCGAGCCUCUGGACAGUUACUGACGCUGAUGCACGAAGGCCAGGGGAGCAAACGGG